rnacentral:rRNA from 1 species
GACGAACGCUGGCGGCGUGCUUAACACAUGCAAGUCGAACGGAAAGGCCCUGCUUUUGUGGGGUGCUCGAGUGGCGAACGGGUGAGUAACACGUGAGUAACCUGCCCUUGACUUUGGGAUAACUUCAGGAAACUGGGGCUAAUACCGGAUAGGAGCUCCUGCUGCAUGGUGGGGGUUGGAAAGUUUCGGCGGUUGGGGAUGGACUCGCGGCUUAUCAGCUUGUUGGUGGGGUAGUGGCUUACCAAGGCUUUGACGGGUAGCCGGCCUGUGAGGGUGACAGGCCACAUUGGGACGGGGAUACGGCCCAGACGCCUACGGGAGGCAGCAGUGGGGAAUAUGGCACAAUGGGCGGAAGCCUGAUGCAGCAACGCCGCGUGCGGGAUGACGGCCUUCGGGUUGUAAACCGCUUUCGCCUGUGACGAAGCGUGAGUGACGGUAAUGGGUAAAGAAGCACCGGCUAACUACGU